UAUAAACAGUUUGGGAUGAAAUGCACUCUGUCCACUCGUUCUGUAUGUGUAGUAAGAGAAAACCUCUCCAUCCCACAACAAGCAACUGAAAUAUCCAGGAGGAUCACUCGCAAAGUCAGUUGCAGAUCCACCCUAAAGAGAUCUGAUGAGCAGAAGCUGCAUGAGAAUACAGGAGCAAGACGAACAGUCUUACCAUGGACUCUUUGU